rnacentral:rRNA from 1 species
CAUGCAAGUCGAGCGGAUGAAGGGAGCUUGCUCCUGGAUUCAGCGGCGGACGGGUGAGUAAUGCCUAGGAAUCUGCCUGGUAGUGGGGGAUAACGUCCGGAAACGGGCGCUAAUACCGCAUACGUCCUGAGGGAGAAAGUGGGGGAUCUUCGGACCUCACGCUAUCAGAUGAGCCUAGGUCGGAUUAGCUAGUUGGUGGGGUAAAGGCCUACCAAGGCGACGAUCCGUAACUGGUCUGAGAGGAUGAUCAGUCACACUGGAACUGAGACACGGUCCAGACUCCUACGGGAGGCAGCAGUGGGGAAUAUUGGACAAUGGGCGAAAGCCUGAUCCAGCCAUGCCGCGUGUGUGAAGAAGGUCUUCGGAUUGUAAAGCACUUUAAGUUGGGAGGAAGGGCAGUAAGUUAAUACCUUGCUGUUUUGACGUUACCAACAGAAUAAGCACCGGCUAACUUCGUGCCAGCA